rnacentral:rRNA from 1 species
AGAGUUUGAUCCUGGCUCAGGACAAACGCUGGCGGCGUGCCUAACACAUGCAAGUCGAGCGUGAAAGGGACUUCGGUCCCGAGUAAAGCGGCGAACGGGUGAGUAACACGUGGGCAACCUGCCUCAAGGACUGGGAUAACUCCGGGAAACCGGGGCUAAUACCGGGCGAUGUCUUCCGACGCAAGUCGGCCGACCAAAGGGUAGCUUCGGCCUCCGCCUUGAGAUGGGCCCGCGUCCUAUCAGCUUGUUGGUGAGGUAACGGCUCACCAAGGCUACGACGGGUAGCUGGUCUGAGAGGAUGAUCAGCCACACUGGGACUGAGAUACGGCCCAGACUCCUACGGGAGGCAGCAGUGGGGAAUUU